AACUUUCAAGAGGUUGAUUGAGAGACGGUCGAAAGGUAAUAUGUUAGUCAUCACAGCAAAAGGGCGGCUACUUCAAAGAAUCCAAAAUACAAAACAUAUUUAUAGUUCUUUAUUCAAUUUUUGGUUUGCUACAUAAUUGCAUAUAGGCCUUCAGUGAGAAUCUGUUUCAUAGAGUCAUUGGAAGAGCUGUUGCUGCCAUUGCCUCUGUACCCUUUUUCUUUUUCAUCCCCAUCUAAGGUUCUCUUGGCUUUUGUUUAGCUGUGUCUCCUUACUAGAUAGACAUUGAAAGAUCUCCUCCUUCCAUUAACUACGUGUACGCUCCUUGGUUUUCUUUCCCAAAGAAUAUAGUCCUGACCACCCAUAACAUAGCUGACACAUACAAUUCAGAGAAAAAUGUGGAGCAAUAAUAUCUGCCAUACAAAGUUCCAACCUACUACAGCUGACAUCCUAAUAAUGCAGUUUAAUUGUAGGACUGUUGGUUUUUGUUUUAUAAGAUGCAGCAUUUGAAAACAAAACUUUCUAAAUCACCUAUCAACUUUCCCUUUUCAGGUGGUGAGAAAAAUCUCACCCCACACAUUUGUCCUUGCUGUCAUUCACUUUAACUUGUCUCAUGAGAACUAAGUUUCGUUAGGAAAUGACACAUUUAAAACUUUUCUUUGACAUUUCCUAUUGCUCUGCUCGUUUCUAAAGCAAUGCAGGGAUUUAAUAAAAUACAUUUACCAGGCAGAAGUAGGCUUAAUUGUAAUUCUGUCGACUUAUGUAGCAAGUGCUUGAAUGAAACAGAUAUUCAUAUAUUUGAAAGUCACACUUUGCAGCAUAAAAUGCAUAUUAAUGCACCUGAAAGAGCAGCUGUCAGACACUUAUGUAUUUAUACCUUCCUGCACCGUACACCUUUUGAAACAGAGUAACAUCUACAGUUAUUUUCACUGCUUUAAACUGAUUGUUAUAAGUAAUUAAUGGAUUGUUAAAUGUGCUGUUCCUAAAAAGUAUUUCUACCUCUAGGACAUUUUCAGACGGUCACAUUAGAACCAUAAAAUUCAAGGUAUUUUAUUGGGAUUUUAUGUUUUGACUUUUUUUACAAUUAUGUUGAAAAAUGUGGUAAACAUUUAUAUUCAGCCUUCCUGAGUCAAUCCCACAUUUUGAAGUACAAGUUUUUUUGGGCCAUAGUCCUACAAACCUUUAACAACCAGAGACUUAAAUCAGUCAGACUAAAUGGAGAGUGUCUGUGCACAACAGAAUUUAAUUCCUUGACACAGAUUCACAAUUGGAUUUAGGUCUGAACUUUGACUCGCCGAUUCUAACGCUUUGCUGUAAACCAUUCUAUGAUAGGCCAGGCUAUAAGUUUAAAAUCAUGGUCCUGCUAGAAGGUAAACAUCCACCACUAUCUCAAAUCUUACAUCUUUUACAGCAGGUUUUUUUCUGGAAUUGCCCUGUAUUUAGCUCCAUCCAACUUUCUGUCAUCUCUCCAGAAAAGCACUCCUGCAGCAUGAUACUGCCAUCACCAUGCUUGAGUUUGGAGAUGGUGUGUUCAGGGUAAUGUCAAAUGCUAGUUUUUCAAUACACAUAGUGCUUACAAUGUAGGCCAAAAAGUACACUUGUGGUCCCAUCUGACUAGAGCACCUGCUUUCACAUGCAUGCUGUGCCCCAUACAUUGCUGUGGCAACCUGUAAACCUGUAGAAUUUCCAAUGUAUUUCUGUCAAAUAUAGCUUAAUUCUUGCUAAAAUUGGAUAGGAGACAUAUUUAUGGAGUGCACAACAAAUAGAUGUUGUUGGGUCAUCAUCCAGCCAAACGAACUACUAUGCAGCUCAACAGGCGUCACAGCUCUGAUGUCACAGGCGGUGUGCUUUACAAGGGCUCGCGGAACAUUCCGACUCCGCUUUUUUGCAGCUGGAGCCAAGACAAGUUACCACACUACGGAAGCACAUCUUUGGAGAAUCAGAUGCUCAAUCCAUUCAAAGCUUUGAUGCAUUCCGAAAUCAGGUCAUAAACUGCUGAUUUGAUCUCCAUCUACCCUCAGCACAUAUCCUUAUUUUUGGUUAUUAAUGUAACCCUUUUGUAGAAUAGUGCAUGCUCAAUUAGGGGAAACGUUGUUGACCAGAAUAGUUAAAUGUAAGAGAGGCUAUUGGUUUAAUAAUUUUUCACAUAGAUAAAAUAAGUCAAAAUACAGUUAGUGUUCCCCACUAUCUGAUAAAAUGGUUAACACAGUGACAUUUAGUGUGGUUUACAUUAUUAAUUAUUAUUAUUUCAUUAUUUUCAUUAUUAUUAAUGAUAAUUAACUAAUUGUAAUUAAUAAGUGCUCUGAGCCCAAUAAUCACACCCCCAGAGUGUAUCUCUGAUCUCUAUUGGUAAGAAAAGAUUUUUGGGUAUUUAUAUAUAUGAAUAUUUAUAACCAAUAAUCAUAAUCCCUUACAAUGUUCAUUCAACAGAUUCUCAAGCCUGAACUGUGGAUCCCUGCAGCUCCUCUAGAGUUACCAGUGGCUUCGAUGAAUGCUUUCCAUGCCUGACAGCUUGUGUCUGGCUCUGCCUUCCUGUAAUACAUGAACACUUAGGCAGAGAUUUGCAUACACAGAGGGGAAGGAAAAGUAGGUUUGAGUGUGAGAGCAUGAUGGAGGGAGCUUCAGUCUUUCUCAAAGGCAGACAAAGACAAGAGAUCACCAGCCUGUCAGUGUGAAACCAGCCAUUCAGUCUGAGAGGCAUCAUGCAUGAUAAUCCCAAAGGAGUGUAGAGGUGUCUAUUUAUGUGUGAAUGGGUAAACCAGCGUGUGUGCAAUUUAGUCUGCCUCCAGGUUUAAACAGUUCAAUGAGAAUAUGCUCACAUUCUUUGUGGUGCAACCUACUGCGUGUGAGCAGCACAGGUCAAAUUCAAACUAAAAAUUGGUUGCUGUGUUUAAAAGUAUUUGUACUCUCAUACCAUUUUCCUAUUUCUAUGUAUGAAUCUGGCAGAUAUGUGGGUUUGUAACUACUAUGUCAACAGUGUUCCCACACAUUUUAAAGUGAAAAUUCCAUACUUUUCAAGACUGAGAUUUCCAGAUGGAUGGAAGGAAGAAAGGAAGGAUACAUAUUCAUAACAUAAUUAAGCAGAAAUAUUGGUUAAACAUGGUUAAUGUCUUUUGUAAACAUCUUGAAUCUCAGUUUUGUUUUACAUUUACCUAUACACACACAACACUUCCGCCAACCAGCAUAUAGUUAGCCCCUAAACACCUGAACAAAAACAAUACUCUGUCUGUAGUAUACGUAGUAUAUUAUGUUAAAAAAAUAAAUAAAAAUAAAACCACAGUACUUUUAAAGCCAAUGGAACAAUGUCAGUGAAUGGACAAAACUAUUAAUAUUAUUAUACUGUAUAUUAUUUAAAGGUCCAUUUAAAGAGUCCCCAGGUAGAUUUUGUUAGAAAACAGUCCUUGGGGUGCUGAUUUUAUGAGCCUAUACCUGCCAAGCAGUCAAAAGUUUUCUGUCCAGUGCUGUAAACUGUCUGAAUGAAGCAAUCACACUGGGACAAAACAACUUUUAUGCUGCGAGUCAGAUCGAACAAACUCUUAGCUGAUGGAGGGUGGGGUUAAAAUUUAGCAAAUAUAUCAAAUAUGUUUUAUUUGGUGGUUGUAAAAAAAUACAGAAAGAGUUAACAGAGACUUUGUAAAUUUGUUGGACUGCAAGAAGUGAUUCAUUGUCAUUGUCACAUUUAAA